UUUCGACCUGAGGUCAGGCAAGAACACCCGCUGAACUUAAGCAUAUCAAUAAG
rnacentral:rRNA from 2 species